UACGUAGGUGGCAAGCGUUGUCCGGAUUUACUGGGCGUAAAGAGCGCGCAGGCGGUCGUUCAAGUCGCGUGUGAAAGCCCCCGGCUCAACUGGGGAGGGUCACGCGAUACUGAUCGACUCGAAGGCAGGAGAGGGUAGUGGAAUUCCCGGUGUAGUGGUGAAAUGCGUAGAUAUCGAGAGGAACACCUGCGGCGAAGGCGGGUUGCUGGGCUGACACUGACGCUGAAGUGCGAAAGCUAGGGGAGCGAACGGG
rnacentral:rRNA from 1 species